AUUGCGCGGUGGAAAAUAACCCAUACACACAGUGUUUUUUGUUUAUUACAAGAACUAUUGCUUUGGCUUGGCGCAAGUCGGGCCAGAGGUUACUACGUAAACUUCAAUUUUUAAUUGAACUGUUAUUUUAAUAAGUUGUCAAUUUGUUUGAUUAAAUUCAAAAUAAUCUUCAAAACUUUCAACAACGGAUCUCUUGGUUCUCGCAUCGAUGAAGAACGCAGCGAAAUGCGAUAAGUAAUAUGAAUUGCAGAUUUUCGUGAAUCAUCGAAUCUUUGAACGCACAUUGCGCCCUUUGGUAUUCCAAAGGGCAUGCCUGUUUGAGCGUCAUUUCUCUCUCAAACCUUUGGGUUUGGUAUUGAGUGAUACUCUUAGUCGAACUAGGCGUUUGCUUGAAAAGUAUUGGCAGGAGUGUACUAGAUAGUACUACUGGUUAUUCAAUGUAUUAGGUUUAUCCAACUCGUUGAACGACUGGGCGUAAGUUUCUGGUGACUGGCUCGGCCCUACAACAACAAACAAGUU
rnacentral:misc_RNA from 1 species